ACGGAGGGAGCUAGCGUUAUUCGGAAUUACUGGGCGUAAAGCGCACGUAGGCGGCUUUGUAAGUAAGAGGUGAAAGCCUGGAGCUCAACUCCAGAAUAGCCUUUUAGACUGCAUCGCUUGAAUCAUGGAGAGGUGAGUGGAAUUCCGAGUGUAGAGGUGAAAUUCGUAGAUAUUCGGAAGAACACCAGUGGCGAAGGCGGCUCACUGGACAUGUAUUGACGCUGAGGUGCGAAAGCGUGGGGAGCAAACAGGA
rnacentral:rRNA from 1 species